UCCCUGGAGGACUAGUGGUUAGGCCUCGGCGCUCUCACCACUGCAGCCUGGGUUUGAUUCCCAGCCAGGGAA
rnacentral:tRNA from 1 species